GGCAGCACUGUAGUCAUUCUUUCUCAUUCAUCACGAAAAUCGGUUGCUCGCCUAUUAUAUUUUUAAUAUAUCGCAAAAUAUGUUGAAAAAAGGUGUAAAUAGUUAAUAAAAUAGUUCUUUAGUUGUGCGGAUAUGUCGCGGCUAUAUUUAAUAAAUACGACGGGCAGCAAGAAUGUGCGAAAAACGUAAACGAAAAAAUGAAAUCUAGUCAAAAAUACGUCGCAAAUGGUGGGGGAAAGAGGAUGAUGGCCAAACAUAGAAACAGCGAAAAACGCAAAUAAGUGACACGCAGAACACACAGCAGAUAAUGCAAUUGUAUUAAAAAUAAACAAGCUGAAUAAUAAUACAAACAGAUUCAUUGACACUGCGCUACAAAAAUUAAAAACUAUUGUACUCAAGUGUAUGCAAGUGAGUGUGUGCAUGUGUGGGUGCAUUUUAUUGUUGUUGUUUGGGGUUGAAAGCUGCAUAACGCGUGACUUGUAGUAGUGUCUGUGUCACACACACACACACACACACAAGUGUCAACGCCACCCACACACACCCACAAAUGUGUAAUUAGGAAAUCGACUUGAGAAGAAGCCACAAGAGACUCAACACAGAAAGAGAACGAGAGAGAGGAUAAAAAGACAACAACAAAAAUGAUGGACAACGAUGACACAAUGCUCAAUAAUUGUGGACCACAGUCGGGUGCUGAAACGGUCUACGGCACCGAGGACAACAACAUGGUCAUGUCCGAAAAGAAUGAAGAGGUUGUCAGCAUCGUGCAGCAGUUGGCGGGUAGCAUUUAUCAGGAAUUCGAGCGAAUGAUCAAUCGCUAUGAUGAGGAUGUGGUUAAGAACCUGAUGCCGCUGCUGGUAAACGUGCUGGAGUGCCUGGAUGCCUCCUAUCGCAUCAAUCAGGAGCAGGACGUGGAGGUGGAGUUGCUCCGUGAGGACAAUGAACAGUUGGUCACACAAUAUGAACGGGAGAAAAGUGCACGCAAGCAGUCAGAGCAAAAGCUGCUGGAGGCUGAGGACUUGGCCGAGCAGGAGAACAAAGAACUCGCCAGCCGUCUGGAAUCCCUGGAGAGCAUUGUCCGCAUGCUGGAGCUGAAGCACAAGAACAGCGUGGAACACGCCAGUCGCCUGGAGGAGCGGGAAACUGACCUCAAGAAGGAAUACGCCCGGUUGCAUGAGCGCUACACGGAGCUGUUCAAGAACCAUGUGGACUACAUGGAGCGCACAAAGAUGCUGAUGGGCUCGACGCACUCACAGAUGAGCAACGCCUCCGAUCGCAUGGAGGUGAGUCGGGCACGUCUGAAUCCCGUGGCACGCAGUUCGGGUCCCGUUUCCUAUGGCUUCGCCUCGUUGGAGAACUCGGUGAUGCUCGACACGGAGACGAUUUGCAGUGUGGGCAGUCAGUCGGAUGAUUCGGGACCGCCAUCGUUGCAGAAUGAGCUCGAUAAUUUGGCUGGCACCGUGGAACGUGGUGCGGCAACAGAUGCGUUGCAACAACAACAUCAGGCAACAUCCCCGCAGAGUCCCGACAUGAGUCCCGUUGUGCCAAAUGUGCCCGCUAAUGUUGGUCGAUCGACCACCAAGAAGGAGCAACGAUCGGACAAUAACCUUUACCAAGAGUUGUCCUUUCAGGAUAACGAAGAGAGCGAAGAGAAUGAGAUUGUUACAGGCAGCUGGGUACAUCCCGGAGAGUACGCAUCCUCAGCAAACGACAACUAUUUUGGCAUGGGCAAAGAGGUGGAAAACCUCAUCAUGGAAAAUAAUGAGCUGCUGGCAACCAAAAAUGCACUCAACAUUGUCAAGGACGAUUUAAUAGUCAAAGUGGAUGAACUGACGGGUGAGAUAGAAAUCGUGAGGGAGGAACUCAAUGCAAUGCAACAGUCGAGGACGAAGCUUAGACAACGCAUCAGUGAGCUGGAGGAUGACCUCAAGAAGGUCAAGGAGCAGGUGAAACAACAAAACACCGAACAGGAGGAGAAUGAUGUGCCGCUGGCGCAGCGCAAGAGAUUCACGCGCGUGGAGAUGGCGAUGGUGCUAAUGGAGCGCAAUCAGUACAAGGAGCGGCUAAUGGAGCUGCAGGAGGCAGUGCGUCUCACUGAAAUACUGCGUGCCUCGCGCACCGUCGACAACUUGGACAAGAAGUCGAAACAAAGCAUUUGGAAAUACUUUAGUAAUCUUUUUACCCCCUCCAAUCGUCCGACGGAACGCGUCGCCGACGGUCUCGGAGGGGGGCCGAUGUUUCGUCACACAGGCGGAGGAAGCCCUGCCCACAGCCAUGGAUCACCCAGUCGGAGUGGCGGAGGAGGCGACAAUCGCCUUGCCAUAGGCGGUGCACAUCCUCCUCCCCAUCCGGCCAGCGCUGGACUGGCCAAUGCUUUGAUCAUGGCCAAGGAUUAUGCGGAGGAGGGCAGCUCAGAGAGGAUUAGCGCUAGGAGGCGAGAACAGUAUCGCCAACUGCGGGCCCAUGUCCAAAAGGAGGACGGACGUCUGCAUGCCUAUGGCUGGAGUUUGCCCAUCAACAAGACGAAUCAGGAUGCGAAUCCGGGUCGUCAUUCGGGCGGUGUACCCGUGCCCGUUUACUGUAAUCCUCUGGCGGAGGCAUCGCCGCACAUGAAGGUGUUUUGUGCGGCUGGCGUGAAUCUGCAUGGUGGCUUCACCAAGGAUGGACAAUGUCUGAUACCCGCCAAUUCGCAUACGACACUCAAGAUCGCCGAGAUAACGAGUCCCACGGCGGAGCAGAGUGUCGAGGCGCUGGAUCGCCAAAUGGCGCGUGCCAGUCUGGCAACGCUGGAGCCGGAGACACAGCUCAGUUCGUAUGUGUGGAUCUGCACGAGCACACAUGCCGCCAGCACAGUGAGUGUGGUGGAUGCGAAUCAAUCGGCAACGGUGCUGGAUGCAUUUCCCAUCUGUGCAUCGCAUCUCCUCUGCAUUGCAUCCGUGCAGGGUGCCAUGGAGAGCGACUACGCAUUGUUGGAGCAAUCCGAGGUGGUCAAUUCGGGUGCCGGAGAGAUGCUACAACGUCCUGGCGACGGUGACGAACUGCUCGGUAAAGUGGAAUUCAUACGUGUGCGUCCCAAAUCCGAUCAGAACAGCAAUAGCAAGCAGGAUUCAAUGGAGCAGGGAGAGACGGAGGCGCAGGAGGCAGUGCACGAAGCAGCUACAGUUGUGGGCGUGGCAGAGGCUAAGGAGGCUACAGAGAAAUCUAAUGAGCAACUGCCUGCUGUGGAUGCCACCGAACCCUUGGGCAAUGUGGAUUCCAUCAAGAUACGUCAGGCAUUGCCAGCAUUCCCAGGUGCUCCUCAGCGACUCUCCAGCAGCUCCGAGGGCAAUAAUCACGUCAGCAACAACAACAACAGCAACCACAACAACAAAAGUAACAGCAACAAUGUGCAAUCAUUGAAUCCCAUAAUGGGUACAAAGGAGCGGGAUGAGCCAGCGAUGAGUUCGGUGGGACCAACGAUGUGGCUGGGUGACCAGGAGGGUUGGCUCUACGUGCACAGCAGUGUGUCCAGGUGGCACGAGUGUCUGCACAAGGUUCUUCUGCCCGAUGCGGUGCUGGCGAUUGUGCAUGUCGAGUCGCGUGUUGUUGUUGCGCUGGCCAAUGCCCAAUUGGCCGUGUUCCGCCGCCAGACAGACGGCCAAUGGGAUCUGAAUAGUUAUCAUCUGGUUACGCUCGGUGAUCGCAAUCAUUCGAUACGUUGCCUCUGUGUGGCCGGCGAACGCAUUUGGGCCGCGCAUCGCAACAAGAUCUUCAUUGUGGAUCCCAUAUCGCUCAACAUUGUGCACUCGCUGGACGCGCAUCCCCGCAAGGAGAGCCAGGUGCGACAAAUGGCAGCCACCGGUGCCGGCGUCUGGGUAUCUAUACGUUUGGAUUCCACGCUGCGUCUUUACAACACGCAUACAUUUGAGCACAAACAGGAUGUGGACAUUGAGCCGUAUGUGUCCAAGAUGCUGGGCACUGGCAAACUGGGCUUUAGCUUCGUGCGCAUCACAGCUUUGAUGGUGUCCUGCAAUCGACUCUGGAUCGGCACCAGCAAUGGCGUCAUCAUCUCUGUGCCGCUUGCCGAGACGCAGCAGAAAUCAUCUGAUCCCCAUGGCCAAAUGCCAUUGUGUUGCAUGGCCAAUGCUCAACUGUCCUUCCAUGGUCAUCGUGAUGCCGUCAAGUUCUUUGUGUCAGUGCCGAUGUUGCAGCAACCGAAUGGAACUUUAACCUUUAGCAACAAGCGUCCCGAUAUGUUGGUCAUGUGCGGCGGCGAGGGUUACAUUGAUUUUCGCAUAAUACCUUCAAUUUGUAGUGCUCUCCGCUCAGCGUCGGAAGUUCAAAUUGGAUUGCAGCAUUUUAACUGAGCCCCAAAAGCGCCGUCCGUAUAUGUGACCUGAUUCAAGAUCCGUUCCGUUACGAUCCGACCCUGACCCUCUAAGAUGACAAUGACAUGGAGAACAGUAUUCAACUGGAACCAAAUCAAACGAUCGAAAAUCGAGGCGAUAAGAGUUUUUUGAUUGUGUGGCAUGUUAGUCAACGCUAAAUUCUAAUUAAUCAUUAACUUUUUGCUUUAAGUCUAAAUGAAUAUACUAUUUAUAAAAACAAGUUAUGGAAAUCCGACCUAAACAAGUUACAAGUUUUGCAGACUAGCGAAAAAAUAACACCUUAAUUUAGUUUGUAAUAAUAUACCCAUCUAAUUUAAUUGGGUACUACAUUUUAGUUAAACACUACACAAAAUUUCGUGCUAAUUAAUUAUGCUUCACAUAUGCAAAUUAGCUUCACAUAAACAUAAACAAAAAUAGAUAAAAAUAAACGUUAUUUGUCAGUGAUAGGCCGCUAAAUAUUGCAAAUAUAUAAAGUAAAAAAUAUAUAGAGCUUAAGAUUUAAAUUUGUACAUUUGAUGCGCUCUACUGAAAGUUAUGUUUAAUAUCCAUAGACUUAACAAAUGCCCAAGAAACCUUAAACUAAUUUCAAAAACAAUUUGUGCGUGAUGUUUGUCCAAAUAAUUAGUUCAAUUUUUAAUCUUUUAAGUUAACAAUCGAAACGACAACAAAAUGAAC